rnacentral:rRNA from 1 species
UACGAAGGGGGCUAGCGUUGCUCGGAAUUACUGGGCGUAAAGGGUGCGUAGGCGGGUCUUUUAAGUCAGAGGUGAAAUCCUGGAGCUCAACUCCAGAACUGCCUUUGAUACUGGGAUCUCGUAGUCCGGGAAGAGGUGAGUGGAACUGCGAGUGUAGAGGUGAAAUUCGUAGAUAUUCGCAAGAACACCAGUGGCGAAGGCGGCUCACUGGCCCGGUACUGACGCUGAGACGCGAAAGCGUGGGGAGCAAACAGGG